rnacentral:rRNA from 1 species
GAGAACUCGGGUGAAGGAACUAGGCAAAAUGGCACCGUAACUUCGGGAGAAGGUGCGCCGGUGAGGGUGAAGGACUUGCUCCGUAAGCUCAUGCCGGUCGAAGAUACCAGGCCGCUGCGACUGUUUAUUAAAAACACAGCACUCUGCAAACACGAAAGUGGACGUAUAGGGUGUGACGCCUGCCCGGUGCCGGAAGGUUAAUUGAUGGGGUUAGCGCAMGCGAAGCUCUUGAUCGAAGCCCCGGUAAACGGCGGCCGUAACUAUAACGGUCCUAAGGUAGCGAAAUUCCUUGUCGGGUAAGUUCCGACCUGCACGAAUGGCGUAACGAUGGCGGCGCUGUCUCCACCCGAGACUCAGUGAAAUUGAAAUCGCUGUGAAGAUGCAGUGUAUCCGCGGCUAGACGGAAAGACCCCGUGAACCUUUACUAUAGCUUUGCACUGGACUUUGAAUUUGCUUGUGUAGGAUAGGUGGGAGGCUUUGAAGCGUGGACGCCAGUCUGCGUGGAGCCAUCCUUGAAAUACCACCCUGGCAACUUUGAGGUUCUAACUCAGGUCCGUUAUCCGGAUCGAGGACAGUGUAUGGUGGGUAGUUUGACUGGGGCGGUCUCCUCCUAAAGAGUAACGGAGGAGUACGAAGGUGCGCUCAGACCGGUCGGAAAUCGGUCGUAGAGUAUAAAGGCAAAAGCGCGCUUGACUGCGAGACAGACACGUCGAGCAGGUACGAAAGUAGGUCUUAGUGAUCCGGUGGUUCUGUAUGGAAGGGCCAUCGCUCAACGGAUAAAAGGUACUCCGGGGAUAACAGGCUGAUACCGCCCAAGAGUUCAUAUCGACGGCGGUGUUUGGCACCUCGAUGUCGGCUCAUCACAUCCUGGGGCUGAAGCCGGUCCCAAGGGUAUGGCUGUUCGCCAUUUAAAGUGGUACGCGAGCUGGGUUUAGAACGUCGUGAGACAGUUCGGUCCCUAUCUGCCGUGGACGUUUGAGAUUUGAGAGGGGCUGCUCCUAGUACGAGAGGACCGGAGUGGACGAACCUCUGGUGUUCCGGUUGUCACGCCAGUGGCAUUGCCGGGUAGCUAUGUUCGGAAUAGAUAACCGCUGAAAGCAUCUAAGCGGGAAACUAGCCUCAAGAUGAGAUCUCACUGGAACCUUGAGUUCCCUGAAGGGCCGUCGAAGACUACGACGUUGAUAGGUUGGGUGUGUAAGCGCUGUGAGGCGUUGAGCUAACCAAUACUAAUUGCCCGUGAGGCUUGACCAU